rnacentral:misc_RNA from 1 species
UUUCCGUAGGUGAACCUGCGGAAGGAUCAUUAAUGAGUUGUCAUGGGGUUCGAUGCUGGCAGCCAGUUUUUGGAUGCAUGUGCUUGCCCUAACAAUCAUCUUCUUCCAAACACCUGUGCACAUUUUUGAGGGAGUCUUGAGUUGGUUGCCGCUCUUGGGUGAUUUUCUCACAUUCCCUUAAAUCAUUAUACGCUAUUAACAAUGUUGAACGUGCUCUGUACCGCAAGGCCAUUAAUAUAAUACAACUUUUAACAACGGAUCUCUUGGCUCUC